rnacentral:lncRNA from 1 species
UAAAUCCUAAAAAAAAAAAAUUUAAUUUGAGCCAGACGUAAGUCAUUAAAGAGACCGUGCUAGAACCACGGGACUCGAGGGAUGCCUAACACCUUCCCCUCGGUCAACAGAAUUCCUUAUCCGGAUUUCUAGUUCGCAAACGAAAAAAUAAAAAUUGAAGAGUCAUUUCCUUUUGAAUAGGGAUUCAAUAAGGUGACUUGGAACACCCAAACUCAAUUUCAAGUGGCGACUCUGUAAGUAAAGUAAUCCCUUUUCAAAACGUCACUUUAAUCGGAAAAAUCGUUUUCUCCAAAACCAACUCCCUAGCGGGGUCGGAUGCGGUGAAAAACCGGGGGUGUGACAUAGAUUAUGAAUAUCUUAUUGGUUUGAUUAUCAGUUUAGCAUGCUUGCAAAUCGGAACCAUUAAACUGAAUCAGUAAUACACAAAAAAUCGGGGGUGUGACAUAGAUUAUGAAUAUCUUAUUGGUUUGAUUAUCAGUUUAGCAUGCUUGCAAAUCGGAACCAUUAAACUGAAUCAGUAAUACACAAAAUUGAAUCAAACCAAUUGAUACGCAUCCCUAAUAUUUGAUAAUUUUCCUUAAAAGUUCCUUUCCAUGCCAUUUUAGCUUUUUACCAUUUGAAUCUCUUUUUGACGUGCCUCUAAUUGUGACAUCGAAAUUAUAUCAUAUUCAAAAUUUGAUUUUAUAAGACGAUUUCAAUCAAUCUUCAAUUGCAAUCCUUGAAUUACAUAAAAAAAUUAAGAAAGAGGAACCAAGAGAAUUCAAAAAAUUAUACUCAUAAUCUUGAUAAAUAAGACCACGUUUUCAUAUUCUGUUUAUAAU